GAAAAAGAACGAUUAUUUUAUUGAGUUACAUUUUUGUGAAGCCAAAAUCUCUCGAUUUUUUUUCCCUGAAAAACUGUCAAUUUUUUUAAUUAUUUGCUUUCUAUGUGUUUUUUUAAAUAAUCUUUUUGGGGUUAGAUCUUGCUUCAACUUGGAUUUUGUGCUAAUUUCUGUUUAAAUCUAAUUUUAGCAUUGUCUAUUAUCCCUUGCUCAAGAUGUUAUGGGUUAAGAGGAUUUUCCAUCAAUGCUUAUAUGGACUAAAUGGGAGUUUUGUUAGUUCUCGGGAACUGGUGUUAGUUCUUGGGGUUCGGGAACUCCUACAUCUCACUCUUUCCCUUCCUUUGUGGAUGCUGUUGAUGAUUUGAUGAAACCGUCUGGAUGUGCUGGAACUGAAAUUUGAUCAUAUUCCACUGAUCUAAGGGCUUGCUAUGGUGACUUGGGGUUUGUUAUGGAAAGUGGUGCCAAAGGUUGUGAGGUCAAUAUAUUGAUAUGAUCCAAGAUGGAUUUUUGCAAGCGACAUGCUCAGAGUCAGAGCAGAGUGCUAGAUCUAUGAAAUUCAAGGACAAGUACAUGAUACACGUUGAAAACCACCAAAAUCAUAGUCUUGGUGGAAGUGGGUGAUUAGUUGCUUCCACCAAAAUCAUGGUUUAGCUGGUUUCCAACCUGAUAUCAAACCAGGUACAUCAUGAUACACACAGAGGCAUUUGCUUUUGAGACAGGGUGACCUCAUUAAGCUGCAAUGGUGGAAAUAAUGCUUUGUUGGGGUCCUAAGGGUAAGCAAGGGCCAACUAAAUCACUUCCUGAUUUAAUUACAAAUCCGUCUGCCAGAGGAGGAAGAAGAUCACGCUGUCGGGCCUCUGUUACAGCCUGCCAACAUAGAAAUGCUGUGGUUUAGACAAUCACCACCAUUGUUUUAUCAUUUUUGUUUUGUUGCUGUACUUUUAUGGGCAGGGAUUUAAUCAUUGAAGUUGAUCGCUAUGCUAUGCGCUUCUCUUUCUUUUUAUCUUUUCCUUUUCUUUUCUCUUAAAAAAACUCUUUUUUGUGGUCUUCUCAUAUGUACAACUGUGACUCAGUGUUUCAUGAUGAGCAUGUUCAUUGACGGCAGGCCUUCCAACCCAUCGAUUGCCUUAAACUUCUUGGCUGACUUGUUGCAUAACUUUCUGUAUCAGUAUGGCUUGUAAUGACUUUUAUAGGCAUAUAAUAAUUUAUAACUUUGCAGUAUUCUUUUGUAA